rfam:Gossypium arboreum cultivar AKA8401 contig_1372_3, whole genome shotgun sequence.
UGUUAAAAAUUUCAUCCCUUUGUACUGUUAAAAAUUGGUGUGGUUAGUAAAAUAACCAAACACUGACGCUUGGAGUGCCACGUGUACCUCAUUCUAACAUACAGGGGCUAGUUAUUAACAGUAGAAAUUGAUUAAAUUUUUAAUA